CCCUUAGAGUUUGAUCCUGGCUCAGAUUGAACGCUGGCGGCAUGCCUUACACAUGCAAGUCGAACGGCAGCGCGGGGCAACCUGGCGGCGAGUGGCGAACGGGUGAGUAAUAUAUCGGAACGUACCCUGGAGUGGGGGAUAACGUAGCGAAAGUUACGCUAAUACCGCAUACGAUCUAAGGAUGAAAGUGGGGGAUCGCAAGACCUCAUGCUCCUGGAGCGGCCGAUAUCUGAUUAGCUAGUUGGUGGGGUAAAGGCCUACCAAGGCAUCGAUCAGUAGCUGGUCUGAGAGGACGACCAGCCACACUGGAACUGAGACACGGUCCAGACUCCUACGGGAGGCAGCAGUGGGGAAUUUUGGACAAUGGGCGAAAGCCUGAUCCAGCAAUGCCGCGUGAGUGAAGAAGGCCUUCGGGUUGUAAAGCUCUUUUGUCAGGGAAGAAACGGUGAGGGCUAAUAUCCCUUGCUAAUGACGGUACCUGAAGAAUAAGCACCGGCUAACUACGUGCUAGCAGCCGCGGUAAUACGUAGGGUGCAAGCGUUAAUCGGAAUUACUGGGCGUAAAGCGUGCGCAGGCGGUUUUGUAAGUCUGUCGUGAAAUCCCCGGGCUCAACCUGGGAAUUGCGAUGGAGACUGCAAGGCUAGAAUCUGGCAGAGGGGGGUAGAAUUCCACGUGUAGCAGUGAAAUGCGUAGAGAUGUGGAGGAACACCGAUGGCGAAGGCAGCCCCCUGGGUCAAGAUUGACGCUCAUGCACGAAAGCGUGGGGAGCAAACAGGAUUAGAUACCCUGGUAGUCCACGCC
rnacentral:rRNA from 1 species